CCUUUUUAAAACUAAAUCCAGGUAUAAAAGUCCAUCAUGUAGACUUGAAUUUUACUAUUAAAUCCACUAAUACGAACAAAUUCUGGGACAUAAUUAUCUGAGUUAUGAAUUGAGAGUGAAAAUAAGAUCCUCAUUAACAACUCUAAGGCUAAAAGAUUCACCAAAUCUUACAGAAUAAGGUCAGUGCUGCUGACCUUUAUA
rnacentral:lncRNA from 10 species